CUUGCAGAUGGCGAAUGAAACCUCUGAACAGAACCCUCCCCCCCACCCCAUCCCCGCCCCAUGUCGCGCUGACACACAUCAGCUCGAGUCUGGAAUGCAAGAUCAAGGCGUGCGCGCCCCGCAGAGCGGUGGGUUUGGUCCCCGCCCCUCGCCCUGCAAGUAAAUACAGUUUGUGUGUUGCAGUAACUCCGAAAAGGCAAAACCGAAACUGGUGUGUAUGGCAGUGACCCGGCUACUGGAGGCAGUUUUAAGGAACUUGACGAUCUAGAGACAGCCCAUACGUUGAUAUUCAGCACCAUUGACUCUGGUGGUUUCGGCGCCCUCUGUUGUAUUUUUGCAUCCUACGAAGGCUGACUAGCUCUUAGGCCUGUAAGGUUUGCUUCUUCUGAAAGGUAAGGCUCUGCAGGACCCCGAGUGCCAGGGUCUGUUGCAGUGGCCCAUGGGAGCUGUUCCAAGGAAGGGCUCCAGUGAUCUACCCCUCGGCCGUGGGCUGAAGAUGAAAUAAAAUCUGUUAAUGUAAAGACACUUUCAACUCUUUAGGACUUGUUUGGGACAGCCUUUGGAGCACCAAGCCCAGACUCUGGGGAACAGGAUAGAAGCCAUCUUUGGCCUGACCAUGUUCCCAUGGCCAGAAGGUAGCACCUGGUUUCUUGAAAGCAACCAGGAAAAAAAAAAUGCUCUCUAAACUGUAGAAUGCUGGGGACACGUGCGAAAGGGGAUUCUAGACAAUGUGAGUCCCCCUUUCUUUCUUGCCUGAGAUUCCACCUCACCCCCUAGGAGCUAUUACCACCCUGAAGUCAUAAACUUCUGGCUCAGCAUCCAUGGCAACUGAUUCAGAGGUCACAAUCAGAGGAUUAUAACUGCAGAUGGGAACCCUGGAUGACAGGGGAGUUCUUCAAAACCCCUGUCUUGUUUCCCAACGAAUACUGCCUCUUACAUAAAAGUCUGCAAAGAGAGAUUAAUGAAGCAACGAGACUGCCCUCCCAGUCAGCAGACUGGAUUGCAUCCCUCCCGCUACCCCCCUCGGCUUAGUGAUUUGGAGGUCUUUAUUAUUUUUUUAAACAAAAACCUUUUUUUUUUUUUUCUAAAAAUACAAUGAGCUGGUUUUUGCAGAGUUCACAAUUCCCAAUAGAUAAUGAUGCCAUUUUUCAUGGUCUUACACACGUUGUGGCUUUGGGGCUUAUUUAUUAGCUCCGGAGAAAAGACUGCCUUUCAGUAAGGUUUAUAUAUUCGAGUAAUUGCACUGGGACACAGUGCAGGUUGCUGUUUAAGAGGGUGGGUUGUGCAGGCGCCUGCAAGCGAAGUCCUGGGCCAGGCAGCUGUCAGACCAGGGCAUGCAGCCGGUUUAAGCAAACACAGGGAAGGUUCUUUGGAAACAGCAAGGAGGAAAUCCCCUCCUGUAAGAGUGUGUGGAACAUGAUCCCUGGGCCACACGUAUGGGGACUUUCCAAUACAUGCCCCAUUAUGGGGAUGGCGCUGGGCCCACCCAGAUGACUUUCAAAUUCAGGUGUGAGAAAUCACAGCUGACAUGCAAGCAAAUUGUUUUUAGGUAAAAUCCCUGCGCUGCUUUGAUAUGAGUUCCACCGGGACUUUCCAACGGCAUUAUACAUGUUCCUGAGAUUACCUGGAGAAGGCUUUUCAUUUCUCUCCCUCAACAUUAACUUCAAAAUUAGCCCGUUAUUCCGAAAAGCUCUGGCAGCACCCAGAUGCCCUGUGUGAAUGAAGAGAGGGAGAGAGAGAUGGAUGGGUACACCAGGAUCUCCCCCAAACAUUAUCUGUCAACCCUGUAGUUAAAACCCUUGACACUCAUGUCUCAAGCCUCCAUGGCACCAACAAGACAACUGAGGUCUGUAUAGCCAGGAUCAGAGUGGAAGCUGAGCUUGCACUGAGGUUGCACAGUGGGAGAGGCUGACCCUGUGCCACAGUCUCCAUACUCAUAGCCAGCACCAACAAAGAGGAGGAAAAGCCACUCCUCACCAACUGCUCUAGAUGUGGGUGCAUCUUUCAAAUCCUCCUUUGCUCUCUCCAGAGGUACAGUGAAUAGUCAGCAAAUAGGUGUUGAAGCCAUGGCAAGGGGCCUGGAAGAGAGGCCUAGGCUUGCUCCCUCCUGGAAUCAACAAGAAUCAGCACGAAAAGCUGCCAUCCUGUUCUCAAUGAACACUGGCCAUCCUGUGGCCAUUUCCUCCUCACAAACAUCCAGCUUCAAACACAUUUCCCUGGAACAAUAAGAGGAAAUGAGAGAGGAACUGGGAACUCAGCCUGAAUACCAGUGAAUAGCUCAGAAGCCUGUGUUUGGGAUUCUGCUGGUGUGAAGCAGAAAAAAAGGAGAGGGUCAGCUUGACAGUGAAAGACAGCAGGAAACUUUCUCUCUCUCUCUCUCUCUCUCUCUCUCUCUCUCUCUGUGUGUGUGUGUGUGUGUGUGUAAUGUGCGUAUCUGUAAGCAGGACUGUAGUGUUGUUUAUGUCAUACAGUAUGAUAUGUACAUGAUGUAGAUGUAUGAUUUGUAUGUGAAUGGCAUAUGUAUGUGGUAUGUGAGUAUAUAUGUCAUGUUGGUUUGUGUACUAUAUAGCACAUAUGUGGUGUGUAGUAUUUAGGUAGACAGGUUGUGGGAGGAAUACUGCCUGUCAGUGAUGAGACCAGACCCAUUGAUGGAUGUGAUGUGUGUGUGUGUGUGUGUGUGUGUGUGUGUGUGACUUUCAUUAGUCUUUCAGCAAACUUAAUCAAUAUCUUUGGCUUUGCAGGAUGCAGCGUGUCUGUCACAGCUCUUCAUAUCAAUGAGCUGGAAUAUCAAGGAGUAGAUGGGCCCAUACUCUGAGGGAGUAGCAGCAGGUAGCACUCAGAUUUUGCUGGCUUCCAGUUCCACUGAAGGUCUGGAGUCACACAAUGUAGCUAGCUCUUCUUUCUGUUCCUGAUUGGAGUGAUAAACUCCAAGGCCAGCAAUCUUUUAGCUCACACCACUUAUAUUCUUUCUCUUGAGAACUAGAAAUUCAAGGUCACCUGUAGCAUCAGCUUGCCUCACUUCCCAUGUCUCCUUGGCUUACAGUGCCAAGCUCUCAUUGGCAUCUCAUAGGUGCCCGUUGAACAGAGAACCAGAGCAAGUGAUCUAGAGGUGAGGAGGCAUUUGGGACAUGAACCCUUCAGGAUCAGAUGUGCUCUUCUGGAUAGAGAGAGCUGGAGAGGCCUGUGACUCAGAGAAAUGAGAGGGGAGAAUGAAGGUGUGACAGAAGCAGACUCCGAGAGAGAUGAGUCUCAGAGAAGACAUAUUCCACCUGAGUUCUGAUGCCCUCACACCCUGUGUUCCUGACCAACAGCAGACACCUGGUUCCUACCUCGAUCAUUUCCCGACUUCACUGUCUCUUACUCUGGCAGUGACCAUUUCCUAGAGCCCACGCUCCUCUGCAGUGGAAAUGAACACCGGUUUCCCUGAGAGCAUUCUUCAGCAUGGGACUCUGUGCUUUCCACAGUGUUCACAGCUCCCUGUAGCUCGCUGGAUCCCAUCCUUCUGCUCCAGGGGCUGAUCCUGCCUGAACAUCUCCAAAGAGGCAGGAAGGACCCACCUUCAGUGGUCCUGGUCCCCUUCUAACUGACAGUUCUUUUUACAACAUUCCUCACAUACAUGUAUGUGCACGCUCACAGCGCACGUGCAUCUUCCCAUGUAUAUGUGCACACACACACAUCCUGCAUGUUGUUUUCCAUGAUGACAAACAUCCUGUCCAGGCCAUUUGCAAAUAUGAAAUGGUCUGGUCUGCCUCCCCCCCGCCCCCCGACAGCUGGAGCUUUGUCACAGCAGCAGAAAGCCAUGUGCCCAGAUGUUGUACCAGCAUGUUGUCAUCGCCACAGCCUUGAUGUCACCAUAACUUCGUUCACCUUCCAGAAGCCUAAUGACUCAGCUCUGUUACCCAAUUUCACUGAGACUACAGCUUAAGGAUGGCUUCCCAGGAAGGGACAGAGGCAGAGCAGAACCUGGCAGGAAACAACAGCACCCUGCCCUUCUCCCCAAGACGGAGAACUUUUAUGCCAACUGUACAGUUAAGUCACUCACCAACAAAACAUCCAAGUCCCUAAUCUGUGCAAAACAGUUCAGUGGAUGCUCUGCAGAGAAGGAAGAGCGGUAAGCAGAACAUACCUUGCUCGUUGAGAUACCAUCUGGGGGUGGGGGGAUGUGAUGUAAGAAAAUGCUUAAAUGGGAAGUGGAAGAAAACAGCUUCACACAGAUGUUCGAGCUGAGGGCUAAAAAACAGAUGAACAUUCAGGAAUGUUGCUGCCAAGCUAAGAAAAAAAAAUGUCUUAGACAGUAUUUGUUAACCGCUGCUAUCGUAGACAGCCAGCUAUCGCUGAACCCAUCUGCCAAUGAACUACCUCUCCCAGCAAGCUUUGCAGGAGGUGUGGGCAGCUACAUGACUUUGUUCUCAUCGGAGAGAGCAAAUGAGACCUUCUGUUUCCCACCUGGCUCAUCAAAACCAUGGGUCUCCCAUGUUCUUUCCCUUUUAGCUCAUGAGAACAGACAGCCCAUGAAACCCCAGAGGUGGUCAAAGAUGGCAUUGAAAAUGGCAGAGACUCAGACAGAAGGAGCUGGAAUUUUAAGUCAAUAAUGUCUUAGUGGAUAGCGUUUAGGAUGUUUUAUGGAUUUCUACAAGAAUAAAAACAAAGCCAGUCAUGGUGGCAGGUGGAUCUCUGAGUUCAAGGCCAGCCUGGCCAAUAGAGCAGGUUCUAAGACAGCCAGGGCUACACAGAGAAACCUUAUUUGAAAAACCAAAGAGAGGAAGAAGAAGAGGAGAAGAAGAAGAAUUUCUGACUAUGUUGAACUGGUGGGCUUUUGGGUGCUGGGUGUUAUAAGAAGCUGGCAUUUCCUAAUACAACAGCCUCUCAACUUUGGAUCAUGGUAAAAUUGUGUGGAGCUAAUCAGCAACACGAAAAUCCCUUGAACUUGGCCCAGAUGUCCUGACUAAGUAAUGUGCUCUGAGUAUGCACACUUUGACAAAUCAGCCACAAAGAUUUUGAUGCAGGCUCUGGUGAGCAUCCUCCUUAGGUACAAUCAAGGUGUACAUACAUAUUAUUAUUGUGGAACGUUAUCUGACUUAUGUGCAUUUGCAUAUGUGUUUCCCUCUUCCACCUUUGAGGUCAGCUGAGGUUCUAUUCUCUACCACGAAACGGCAGUUUCUGGGUGCUAAGAGAUGGCCAUGGCCCUGGCCCACCCCACCCCCAGACCUCACUGCAGGUCUCCUCUGCGUGUUGUCUGAUGGCCCAGCUAGAGAUGAGUCAUCCGUCUCCUCUGCCUCAGUGGGAGCACAGCUGUUGGGAGUGGACCCAGGGCUGCCUCUGCCUCCAGGAAGGUAGCUGGCUUCUCGGAGCCUUUCUCUACUCAUCUCUGCAUUGGCAGGGCCAGGUCUUGAGUUUGUCUUGCAUCCAGGUCUGCUGAAAGUCUGAUUUCCAGUCUGUAGGGGCAUUGUAACAUUCAGAACUGGCCCAGUUGUAUAAACACACAGCUUUGCUGUUUGUAGACUAAUCUUGCUUGAAAUAAAUGCUAACUUCACUGAGUGUGCCAUAGCGCCUCUCGUUACAGACUAAUCCUGUUUACAAGCUAAUGUCUUCCAGCUGUUUUCCCCCUUGUCCUGGUGGACCCCUGGUGUGAUGCUGCUCUGGCUGACAUCACACUUGUCAAACCGUAUCUACAUCACUCUUCUCAGGCCUGUCUUGAGACCCCAGCUGUGCUGAGCUCUGGGUGUAUCCAGGCCAUCUCUGAGUUCCUCUGCCUCUCUUCCUAGUCUCCACUGCACAGCUUAGCACCCAGUGGGUCCCAGCACACAGUAGGUACUUCUCAGUACCUGGGAGUUCACUGUUCCAGCCUGGAGCUAGCACUGUAAGGUUUUAAGUUAGCUUUCCUGAAAAUAUGAUCUUAGUUGCAAGCCAGUGACACAGCAGCCACCUCUGGAAGCAUAAUCCUCACCAAGAGGGCUUAAAUCCAUUCCAUUUCUGUAUUUACCACAGGAAAACAAAAUUCAUCUAGGGGGCUCUAAAGAAAAUUCCAUUCCACACUUUAAAGUCAUGGCUGAGAUUUGUAAUUUCCUAAUGGAUUUAUAAUGGGAAAGAAAUUACCCCUUAAUAAAGUAUUCUGGCCAGACACCAAGGUUGUCCUCAUCUAUGACCUCUGAGCUGCUGAGCCACCAUCUUCCUUUGGGCACCAAACUGAAUACAUCCGUGAAACUAGAGCUUCGAGACCCAUUGGAGCUAACGAAACAGAACCAAAGGGAGAAGCACAUGCAUUUUCCUCUCUAGAAUACACCAUCAAAGAUUCAGAGUGGGGCUGGCAGGAUGGCGUAACACGCAAACGAAGUGCUUGCCUCCCAGCCUCAUGAACUGAGUUCAGCCCCUGGGACACACAGUAGCAGGAGAGAACUGACUUCUGACCUCCACAUGCAUUCAUAUGCCCAUGACACACACAACACAAAUAAAUACACGUUUUUAAAAAAAUCCAGCGUAAUUCAGAGACAAUGAAGACUAGGUAGCCAACUGUCAUUCAUGGGCUUGGGCUGUGAGAACAAAGUACCACAGACUGAACAAACAUUUCUUUCUCACCAUUCUGG